UUGCUGUCUCUUUCAGAAAUCCCAAGUGAACAUAUGAGUUACCAGAAAAUGGAUGAAUGAGUAACCUCUAGAGGCCGAGUUCAGUUGGGGAAAAUUCCAAGAUACCAGGAUAUGGAGAACAGAUAUCAGUGAACGUUAACAACACUGCAGUGUGGAGAAGAGAGUUAGGAUUACUCGAGGCUCACAUAACAACAUACGGAUGUUUUCCUGAAUUGAUUACAACCUGGUGGAGCUGCUGGGGUGACAUGAGAGCAGACAAGGAGCACUGUACUGAAGCUGAUGAUCUAUCACAGAAGUAUGGCCUUAGACCUUCUGUUUUCUAUGUAGGUUAACAGAAACCUCUUCUUGCAGAUGCCCACCUUGUGCCAUUUUGCAUGUGAGUUUUGAAGAUACCAGGGACUAGCUGCUUCUUUGAACUUCACUUGACAACUGGAAGGACUUGACAGUGAGAUUCCACCUUAUGGGCAAGAAGAUUGAAAUUGAUAAUUUUCAUCUUCAGAAAUCUACCCCAGUUUUCUGCUUCUGCCAAGACUUUGUACAAGGCCUAGAAUCUGUACCGGCAUUGUGGAUAUUCUGUCUUCUGCUUACUUUACAUGUUUGGGCCAAUGUUUCAACUUUAAGAGCUACACAGUUCACAUUUUUUUAAUUAAAGAUGAAACUUGCAAGCAUUAUUCUGUAAAAAAAUAUAAAAAUAAAAAUCCAUUCUAUCAAAGCACGUUGAGGUUCACUUAUAUGUUGCCUAGUCUAAGAUGGAAUUUUUAAAACGUAAAUAUUUUCCUACCGUGACAAGGGGUGACAUUUGAGACACUGAAAUGGCCACUGUCACUAGAAGGUUCAAGAUUAGUUAUUUCCUGGUGCCAACAAGGAGAAGUAAUGAGGGAAUAGAUAUUUAAAUUACAGACCUAUAAUUCUGCCAUCCUCACUUAAAAGUAUGGGGAUACUAAAAUUCUCUACUUAGAGAUAAGAGUGCCUGUGGUGCACCUGUUUCCUGGUUAAAGUAGAGGAGGUUUGGAUUGCUUUGGAUUACUAUUAAGACAAAAUGGGUUCUAAAGCAAUGCAAACCCAAGGUCAGCUAAUUUCUUCAGGUAAAAGAUCACAUCAAGCACAACAAUCAAUUAAUUGCAAAGAAGUUUGGGUAGCAGGACAGAGACACAAAGCCUGAACCAGUGUAUCUGCAGUAGAGAGAAAGAAAAAAUUUGCUUACAGAUGAAGAGUCAUGGGCAAAACCAAGGACUUCAUAUUCCACUGCAAUAACUAUCCAAAAAAAAAGAAAGGGAAAAUGAGCAGCAUCUACAGUGUUUAAGAAUAUUGAGAAUUCCAGGGACCAAGAGGUAUCUGUCAUAUGACCUGAACUGCUUUGCAGCCUCUUGAUUCAAGUGCUGUGCAGGAAAGCAGGCUGCUAUAUUUGCAAUUGAGCUGUUAGAUCAUAAACCAAUUCAACUGCAGCUGAAUCAAGGGACCAGCUGCAACAUGAGCCCCAGAAAUAUUGAUAAUAUUACAAAUGUUACAGUAGAGAAACGUAGCUGAGAGCUGGUGAUAUUCAGUAUAUGUACUCUUGAGUCCUGUAAGCAAAACCAAGCUGUUAAUAAGAAAUCUGUGAAACAAGCAACAGUAUCUCCUGGAGUCUGUAGCAGCUGACAGGAAGGAAUACCGUGCUGAGCUACAGUGUAGCAUGAAAAAGAGCAAUUUGCCCACCAAGUGCCAUCAAAGAUACUCCAAACUGAACGAGGGAGAACAGCAUCCUGAUACGAUGGGGAUCAUCCAUUUUUCCAGCAGCCCUAACAAAGCGACUGAAGAAGGAACAGGCAUAGCUUCAAAGGAAAGGUGUUACAUCUUCUGAAACAAGCACAGUGUGGAUCUGCCUCCAGCCAGCAGUGACAAAGUUUUUUGGUAAAUCAGAGAUUGGCGUUGGCUCAGAAACACUUCACAGUGAAGAAUAACAUUGUUCCUGAACUGCCUCUGAGGGGCUUUUGUCUGCUUUGCUAACAUUCAGGAUUGUCUAUUUUGUGUUAAAUUAAACAGGUUCCUGUCAUCUGACAAAGUUUUCUUCAUCCUGUGGUACAGACGGGAGCAGCGGCGCGCUCGGGAGCCGGGUGAGCUGAAGCAAGCAGCCCCCUACACAC